AGAACACCAAGUGCAGGCAUGGCCACCUACCCCAACAAAUACAGCUGGCAAAAAAAAAUCCAAAUUCAAGUGUAUAGGGGACAUGUACACCAACAAUAGAAUAUAUAUAUAUGGACAACACAUAUCAAAGAACCAAUGUUACAGUAAGCCAUCUGUCACAGAGCGCCUUUGUCACUGCCCGGUGAACUACAGCUGGAUUCCCAUACCUACUCCAAAAGGCACGACAACAACAGGAGCCUUUGCCUUGGGAGAAUCCAGUUGGAAAAGACCCUGACUGUUCAAGUGCCCAGAUCCCAAAGUCUCUGAACUAAGAUGCUCCAGCAGUGACGUUUUAUCUUGUUUUAUCUAGUUUAUGGUUUUGCAUCGCACUUGUCAUUGCAAUGUUAGAAAGUACCAGGGAAAUGGACUAGUGAGCAGCAGAUGGGCGAGAUGAUAAAACAAAAAUUCAUCUGAAUGUCAAAUCUAUGAGCUAUAUAAAUGCAGCACCUUAUUUUUCAUGAAAAGACAGCACCAGUCUACCAUAUUAAUUUUUUAUACCUUGAUUACCACCACCAAUGCCUCUCAUCUCUGAGACAGUGGCUUGGGAUUCUGAGCCUAUUAUGUUGCUUGGAAUCAUAGGUCUGAUUCUAGUCCUCCUGAAGUCAAUGUGAGUCUUUCCACUUAAUUCAGCUGGACUCGGAUAAAGCUGUCUGUGAUUUUCAUCCAUUCCUUAAGGUGAAGAUCUACUCUGAAAAGUGACUGUCAACAUGACCAUGAACUGUCAUGAUGACUGUAGGUAAGUGACUUCUAGGUCAGACUUUAUUUAAGUUUACAAGCAAAGAAUUGUUGUUUUCCGUCAACAGGACAAACUGUUCUUUAUUGCUCAAGCUUCAUCAUCAGUAAUAAAGAUUUAGGAAGCAAAAAUUCUGACCUGUUCGAUAUUAAUGCUUUCAGUAGAAUUAUACAAGUGUAACUGAGGGCAGAAUUGGGCAGUUGGAACUUAGUUUACAUUCUGUUGAUGUGUGAGCCAGAAAAGAGUUCAGCUCUUUCCUGUAGAUGUGAUCGUUCUGCAGUGCUACCAGGAAUAAAAGAUAAUUAAAAUGUAUUUUUGUCAUGGAAGCAAGUAGAUGUGACUCACCCAGGGAACAGUUCUGCUGAGUUAAAAGAUGCCAUUUUUAUUUAGUCACCAUAACUGCACUAUUAUGCAAGAACAAAGUGGCAUAGACUUAACCCUGCACUCAUUAGGCCUGAUUCAUAUCUUCCCUGCACCUUGUAUAGUCAUUUACACCAUUGCAAUAGUCAACUGUUCUGAUCUGAUACCAUUUAAUAUAUAUGCUGCACUGACUCUGCACUAGUGUAGAGGUUGCACACCGGGCAAAGGAGUGGGGAAUUAGACCCACUGUUUACAUUUUAAUCCAAAGGACAUAGAAGCCAAACAUCCUUCUCCCCAUCCACCAUGCUCUGCCGUUAACAUCAGUUAGUUUUUGUAAAACUUUCCCCAGGAAGCUGAGCACAUUAUCUGUACAACACUCCAACACAUUGCUAGAAACAUUCCAC